CUUUGGAGGUGAACAGUUCCACCCACAGGCAACCAGAUCAGAGGAUUCUUGAGGCAAUUUCAAGGUCUUCUACACUUGGAAUUCAAACUUCAAAACCAAGGUCAAGGUCUGCCUCUGACUUUCUGGAAUCAGCAAAAAGAUCAAGCACUCUAGCAAGACAACAGGGAAGUAGUGUGGCAGGGUCAACUCAGACCACGGUAGUAUCUUCCACUGUCUCUCACAAUAGCUCUUCCCAGGAGUCAUACAGCAUUCUUCACAGACAAGUAAUUUCAUCAUCUGUUUCCGAUCACUCUGAGUCUGAAGCAGUGCCCGUGUAGAUGGUGAGGUUCCUCUUGACUUUCCUAAUAUGAUGACUACAUUGAAGAGACAUUUUCAAAAAUGCACUCCCUGGGCAAAAGCUUACAACUCCUUUGAAUGGCUUACAGAAGCAGGAUGAUCACUGGCUACCUCCCUUCCAAUGAAGAAAUCUUAUUCUUCAGUCUCGUGCUGCGUCGGCACACUCCAGUCUCCCCCAUUGCUCCCUACUAUAAUCUGCUUCGCUGGUUUAUACCUGAUUCUUAAGCGGUUAUUUACAUCAGCAUUUAAGCUGUCAAUUUAGGACCCAGCAAUUAUCCACCUUACAAUCCUGAAUAUGUUUUGGGCUUUAUUACUGUAAAACUAUGGUGAAAGGAAGGGCAGUACACUUAAAAUGUCUAUAUUUACAUUUAUAUUCCUACAUUUUCUAUAUUUAUAUUUUUCCCUAUAGCAAAAUCAAAUCAUGUUAUUAUAUUAUAUGAUCAAUAUGUAAAUUUAGUCUGUUGCAUGAAUGAUAAUUAUUAUCGAUAAUUAGGAAUAUCUGGGUACUAUUUGCUUUUUUUUGCUAUUAAAAUAUAUUCUGAACAUUUCAAAAUACUCUGUUGAAGGCCACUUGUCUUUUUCUAAAGUAAUUCUACACGAAUAUUAUCUGUCUUUUAAAAAAGGUUAACUAAAGUUAGUUAUAGAAUGGUUUCAGUUUGUUUCGUAUCAAUAGAAAUCACUAUCUUACACAGAAUAAUAUUUCAUUUUGUAGAACGCAAAUGUCAAUCUAACAUGACUCUUAGUCUGUUUUAAUUUACUACAUUCUGAUUAAAUUCAAGAAAUAAGUGUUACCGAAUUGGUGUUCAAUUAUUAUUAAACAUAAAAUGAACAUCACAUUUGCAAAGUUUUAACAAUCUUUUUUGUACCAGGUGUCCAAGCAUUUAUUGAGCAGGUACGAUAUAGAUACUUUUGUUUAUGACUAUCAUUUGACCAACAGGGUGUACAGUCUACAGUGAAAGUCACAGGUAAGGAGUGCAGGUGGCCAUUGCUUGAAGCAAUCUGCAACACAUGCAUCGUACCACUUGUACUGUAUACCAGUAAGAUUUACUGUAACAUGAGCAAACUACAGGUGAAGUUUAAUCAUUAGAAGUGCAGCUGAAACAAAAGUAUUCGCACAAGGGUGCUGCUUUUUCACAGUGUUCUUAAUCCCCUCAAUCCACACAAACAGCUCCAUUAAAUGAAGUAAAGUGCAGCAUAUGCCAAUAAUUGUGAAAUAUAAAUGUCUCAUUCCUCUAUUGACUGGUGCCCAUAUAGUUAGUCAUUAUUUGAUGUUGUUAUGCGUAAGGCUGGGAGUAUGUUGGUAAAAUCAAUUUCUAGGUCACAGGGUUAUUAUAUCUGUUAAUGUGGCCAGAAUCCAAAAAAGCAGGAAAACAGCAUCACAGGAUCACAGG
rnacentral:lncRNA from 1 species